CAGGCCAUUUUUAAGGGCAUAGUUGCAACCCUUGCUUAUGGGAAGAGAAGUACCUUCAGCCUCUGACCCCAUGUUUCUGUCUUGGUGUGUGGCAUCCAGCUUACUGUCUGCGUGUCUCUGAGCCAUGGAGUCUACUGUGGCUGAUGUACACCUCAUGCCCAGGACAACCAAGGAAGUCCCCACUCCGGACGCUGCAUGCUGUCGAGUGACCACCAUUGGUGUGGUGGCCACCAGCCUUGUCAUCCUCACCCUGGGAGUCCUUUUGGCCUUCCUCUCUACACAGGGCGUCCACAUGGACCACACGGCCGAGCUGCGGGGAAUCCGGUGGGCCAGCAGUUUGCAGCGGGAGGCCUCGGACUAUCACCGCACACUGACGCCCACCCUGGAGGCACUGGUGAGGGUGGUCUGUGUUUGGGGGCCAGGGAGGAAAAGCGGAUGGCCAGGGCUUUGACCUGGAGCUGCUUUCCAUGUGGGAGGGAGGCAGGCCGGAGGCAAGGAGGCUGAGGUGGAGGCUGUGAGACUGGGAGGCCAGGCCAUGGGGGAGGGGAAAGGAUGAGGCCAGGUGGUCAAGGCAGAUACCUGCAAGGCAGAGCUGUAUCCACUGAGGACAGACUCACAUGGGAUUGAUUUUAGGCCACAUUUAGAGGUUUUUUUUUUUUUUUUUUGAGACGGAGUCUCGCUCUGUCGCCCAGGCUGGAGUGCAGUGGCGCGAUCUCGGCUCACUGCAAGCUCCGCCUCCCGGGUUCACGCCAUUCUCCUGCCUCAGCCUCCCGUGUAGCUGGGACUACAGGCACCCGCCACCACGCCCGGCUAAUUUUUUGUAUUUUUAGUAGAGACGGGGUUUCACGGUGUUAGCCAGGAUGGUCUCGAUCUCCUGACCUCGUGAUCCGCCUGUCUCGGCCUCCCAAAGUGCUGGGAUUACAGGCAUGAGCCACCGCACCCGGCUUUUUUUUUUUUUUUUUUUGAGAUGGAGUCUCACUCUGUCGCCCAGGUUGGAGUACAGUGGAAUGACCUCUGCUCACUGUAACCCCUGCUGCCCAGGUUCAAGUGAUUCUCCUGCCUCAGCCUCCCAGGUAGCUGGGAUUACAGGUGCGCGCCACCAGGUCCAGCUGAUUUUGUAUUUUUAGUAGAGACAGGGUUUCAUCAUGUUGGCCAGGAUGGUCUCGAACUGCUGACCUCAAAUGAUCCUCUUGCCAUGGCCUCCCAAAGUGCUGGGAUUACAGGCAUGAGCUACCGUGCCCAGCCCUCCACAUUUAGAGUUUUAUAUUUUAUUCUAUAGGGGAAUCACAGCCCUCAUGCAUAGCUGGGGGAAUGUAUUUUAUUUUAUUUUUUGAGACAGAGUCUCACUCCGUCGCCC
rnacentral:lncRNA from 10 species